GCAGACCACUCCUACGGGAGGCAGCAGUGGGGAAUAUUGCACAAUGGGCGCAAGCCUGAUGCAGCCAUGCCGCGUGUAUGAAGAAGGCCUUCGGGUUGUAAAGUACUUUCAGCAGUGAGGAAGGUGGAUAUGUUAAUAGCAUAUUCAUUUGACGUUAGCUGCAGAAGAAGCACCGGCUAACUCCGUGCCAGCAGCCGCGGUAAUACGGAGGGUGCGAGCGUUAAUCGGAAUUACUGGGCGUAAAGCGCAUGCAGGUGGUUUGUUAAGUCAGAUGUGAAAGCCCGGGGCUCAACCUCGGAAUUGCAUUUGAAACUGGCAAACUAGAGUACUGUAGAGGGGGUAGAAUUUCAGGUGUAGCGGUGAAAUGCGUAGAGAUCUGAAGGAAUACCGGUGGCGAAGGCGGCCCCCUGGACAGAUACUGACACUCAGAUGCGAAAGCGUGGGGAGCAAACAGGAUUAGAUACCCUGGUAG
rnacentral:rRNA from 1 species